rnacentral:lncRNA from 1 species
CCCUACUCCGCAGUCGUGGGAACAGGGAGAAGUGAUCCUCCGUGAACUGCGAGUAGGAAGCUGCGAGGGAAUCGGCAGAUGAGUUUUUAACGUUAGGCCUUGUUUAUGCUGGGGAUUAAGUCAUUUGUGGUCAGCAACCAGUGCAGCUGGGCUGCUGCAGGCUCCCAGUUCACAUCCGAUGACAUGACUCGGGUGGAAAUCGGGGGCACGCUCAGCUGCUGGAAGGGCGAUUUCUGCCCUCUCUGCCGGGCUGCUGGCGGUGGCCAGAGCGGAGGUGACUGGGUGUGUGCGGUGCCGGGGUCCCCGGCAUGCCAGUGGCAUGCAUUUUGGAUACUUUAUAAAGGUUCAUCCUCUUCAGUAGCAGAUCUCUGAUUCCAGGUUCUGCCUCAGGUCUGGACUUCUUUCCAAGUGAAGGAAGAAAUCUUCCACCUUCCAGAAACCUGAUAUUUUGGACCAGAUCCCUCUCUGAACAGGUUGUAUGCUGCCCUUUUCAAAAUCAAGCUAUCAGAAGAUGCCCUUCAGCAGAAGUGUUAAGAGGACUUG